UCGAGGAUAUUUAGCAAUGGGGGAAACCCUGACUAUGUGACGCCGCGUGAGGGAUGAAGGUCUUCGGAUUGUAAACCUCUUUCGACAGGAAAGAAACGCUGCAUUAACAGUGCAGUCUGACGGUACCUGGAGAAGAAGCCAUGGCCAACUCUGUGCCAGCAGCCGCGGUAAUACAGAGAUGGCGAGCGUUACGCGGAUUUAGUGGGUGUAAAGGGCAGGCAGGUGUUUUACCAAGUUGUAAGUGAAAUCCUAAGGCUCAACCUUAGAACUGCUUACAAAACUGGUAAAAUUGAGACUAGAAGAGGAAAGCGGAAUUCCCGGUGUAAGGGUGAAAUCUGUAGAUAUCGGGAGGAACACCAGUGGCGAAAGCGGCUUUCUGGUCUAGUUCUGACGCUAAACUGCGAAAGCUCGGGGAGCAAACA
rnacentral:rRNA from 1 species